UCAGGUUUAAAUAACCCAAAUAAUAACCAUUUUGGCAUCUACCUUAAAGGUUAUAUUUAUAUAAGAAGAGUUGCUGGUUUUUAAUAUUAAUGCAUUGAUAAAUAACUUAAAUUCUUUUAGUCACUUUCGAUAUAUUUUUCAAACUUUUGAAAUUUUGGCUUACACUUACAUAUUUGCAGAACUAGUUUUCUUCUAGUUUGUAGUAUAAAUAUAUAUAAUUAACACAGA